rnacentral:rRNA from 1 species
ACUCGAGUGGCGAACGGGUGAGUAACACGUGGGUGAUCUGCCCUGCACUUCGGGAUAAGCCUGGGAAACUGGGUCUAAUACCGGAUAGGAGCCAUUUUUAGUGCGAUGGUUGGAAAGUUUUUCGGUGUAGGAUGAGCUCGCGGCCUAUCAGCUUGUUGGUGGGGUAAUGGCCUACCAAGGCGGCGACGGGUAGCCGGCCUGAGAGGGUGGACGGCCACAUUGGGACUGAGAUACGGCCCAG